rnacentral:RNase_P_RNA from 1 species
GCGGGUGAGGGUUUUGCCCUUAAAUUUGCAAGGUGAGGAAAGUCCGUGCAUCCAAGAACAGGCAUCCGGAGAAACUCCGGGCGGUGUGAGCCGGCGGAUAGUGCCACAGAAAUGCGUUAGCCGAUGUGAAGCAACAGGUAGACCUGCGAUGAGCGGGGCAAGCAGCUGCGUAACAUAAUAUAGUGCCGUUGCGACCGAAACGUAAGUGAAGGGAGCGGACAAAUCUAUGAUUUGACAGACACUUUUAAGCAAAGCUAACAAGACUGCCGAUGGAUUAUAUGUCACAGGCGAUGGUGCAACGGUGAGUUAAGAGCUUCACCAGCGAAGUCGGAAGGCUUCGGCUAGGUAAACCCAUGUCGGAUGCAAGGUUGAGUUCGGGGUUAUAAAGGUUGUUCGCCCACUCGAGAAAGAACCGCUAGAGCCUGAGAGCAAUCUCAGGACCAGACAGAUGAUUAUCUAAAACAGAACACGGCUUACGGGCUGCUUUA